rnacentral:rRNA from 1 species
CAGGACGAACGCUGGCGGCGUGCCUAACACAUGCAAGUCGAACGGAGUCAAGAAGCUUGCUUUUGACUUAGUGGCGGACGGGUGAGUAACGCGUGAGUAACCUGCCUCUGAGAGGGGAAUAACGUUCUGAAAAGAACGCUAAUACCGCAUAACGUAUCGAAGCCGCAUGACUUUGAUACCAAAGAUUUUAUCGCUCGGAGAUGGACUCGCGUCCGAUUAGUUAGUUGGUGAGGUAACGGCUCACCAAGACCGCGAUCGGUAGCCGGACUGAGAGGUUGAUCGGCCACAUUGGGACUGAGACACGGCCCAGACUCCUACGGGAGGCAGCAGUGGGGGAUAUUGCGCAAUGGGGGCAACCCUGAACCGCAGCAACGCCGCGUGAAGGAUGAAGGUUUUCGGAUUGUAAACUUCUUUUAUCAGGGACGAAGCUUGACGGUACCUGAUGAAUAAGCUCCGGCUAACUACGUGCCAGCAGCGGC